GCCGGGUGUGGUGGCUCACACCUGUAAUCUCAGCACUUUGGGAGGCUGAGGCAGGCGGAUCAUCUGAGGUCAGGAGUUCAAGACCUGCCUGGCCAACAUGGUGAAACCCUGUCUUUA
rnacentral:SRP_RNA from 1 species